UUAAGAUAUAAAUUAUUUAAACUUGAGUAGUAAUAGUUAUAGUCUUGAAACUUAAAGAAUUUGGCGGUAUUUUAGUCUAUUUAGAGGAAUCUGUUCCGUGAUCGAUAAUCCCCGUUGAACCUUACUUAAUUUUAUAAUAUGUAUACCGCCGUUUAUUGAAAAUCUUUUUAGGUUAUUUUCUUAAUGCUUGAUUAAGUAAUAUUUCAGGUCAAGGUGCAGUUUAUAUUUAAGUGGAAAUGGAUUACAAUAUUUAAAAAUACAUGAAUUAUAUUUUGAAAUUAAAAUAUGAAGGUGGAUUUAAUAGUAAUUUUUUAGAGAUUAAAAUUUUGAUUAUAGCUCUAAAAUGUGU
rnacentral:rRNA from 1 species